AGAGUUUAUUCCAGCACAAAUGAGUCCCGAAUCAAACAGCACCCCGGACCAAAAGAGUUUCACAAAACCACAUCAAGCAAUGUGGUCAGGCAGUAUUUGCAGACAGAACAAGAAAAUGACUUACGGAAACAGCUUGAUGGAUUACAGCUCAGCAUUUGCCUUAUGUGGACACAGUGUGAUCAGCUGGAUGUCUGCCAUGGGCUGAAGAUACAGAUACAGAAAUUUGGUCUCACAGCACAGCUGCCCCAUCCUAGGCCAAUCAUACUGAUUGAUAGCAGCUCUGCGUCUUUCUGAGGUGGAGCUCCAAGAGACAAGUGAAAAACCCUCUGUCACAACCACUGCUAACUUUCCUUCCUCUGAUUCCUCCAAGAUGGGAAGGGAUAUAAAGCUUGAGAUUGUCCCAGAGCUGUGGUGUGCAGCUUGGGAGUGCCAAGCCAAGAUUUUCAGCCAGCAAUCAAGAGGGAGAGGAGCCCAAGAUUUCAGAGCACUAAGAGGGAGC
rnacentral:lncRNA from 10 species